GAGGGGUUGGGCGGUGUUAAUCGUGAGCUGGUCCGGUCUUGUCUCCUGACGAGGGGAAGCCCGCUCUGUUUUACAUUUCGCAUGACUAUAUUACUCAACAAAGUUGCAUAAGUGAAGUGGGGAGGACGGCGGACGGGCGGCCGGAGGUGCAGCGGGAGGGAAGGUCGCCUCAGGGAAAACUGAGAGAAGUGAUGCCCAGCAAUAGAGAGACACUUCUGUCGGGGUCGAGCUGUUUUUUCAUGGCGCCAUUGGCAGCCAGGCGUGCCACCUGCUCCGGACCUCUCUCUGCUGUGGCCAGACGGAACAGCUGGCCGCUCUUCUGACGCUCUGAUUGGCUAAUCCCCGCUGGUCACUUGUGCUCUUCCUCCUCGCCUGUCAUUGAACUUUCUCUCAAUUAGUGCCAGGUUUGUGCUUCCUUCACAGGGGCUGCCCU
rnacentral:lncRNA from 1 species